GCGAACCUGGAUGUGGCCGCUGCUUCCUCCGCGCAGACGCGCCCCGAGUUAUUUACUUUCGUUUCCGCGGCAAACUUCCCGAGGCCUGGAGUCAGCCGGGAGGCCAAAAGAGGACAUGUUACCUAAUCAUAGAAACCGCCGCCGCUGGGGAGAAGCAGCUUGGUCUAGGGGGGGAAGAUUUUAUGGCUGCAAUUUGGAUAUUGCAAAAAGGAGGAGCCUCUGAGAGCUCUGAAUGAUCUGCUGGCCCAAACCCCGCAUUCCUGAUGUGGCCCUCCCCAGCCAAGGAGGAACCAAGAAAGGUCGCCCGUCCUGCAGCUGCGGCCCGAGCCCGCGCGAGGGCGCUGUAGAGAGCCAGCCCGCCCUACCUCCAACCCGCCUGGCUGGAGACAUCAGCCUGCACCAGCUUGGCCACGAAGCCUUCAUUUUCUUCCAGUUAACUCGUGGGUCCCUAAAUGCCUUUAUUAGUUAAAAUCCGCCCCUCCCCAACUACCCUUAAAUUACACAAGAACCUGAGGGGUUUUCUCAGACUUUUGCUUCCAAACCUUAAGACCUGGAAAGUUGUCUCCCUCCGCCACUACCGGUGCUCCUGACCCUGACAUUUUGGGGUCACUGCCGAGUUUACCAACGACAUACAGGGCCUCACCGACGUUUGUUCGCUGGGAUGGACAUGCCCUAGAUGGUUCAGAGCAUUCACGGCCCUCAGGUUCCCCGCAGUGGGCUCCUAAGGGGCGGGCAACUCUCUCAGUUUACAUUCCCUGGGCCACUGUCCCCGGCGCAGAGCCUCCCACCUCAGCAGCUGGCACCUACAACAAUGACCUAGAUUACUUUAUUAUCAUUACUUUUUUAAAAACCAACAAUUUCACAUAUGUAAAAGUAAAUGUUACAUAAAUAUGUCUUAUAGGACAGUAAAAUGAAUAAGCAAGUACCUACUAUCUAACUUUUUUUUUUAAAAGAUUUUAUUUAUUUAUUUGACAGACAGAGAUCACAAGCAGGCAGAGAGGCAGGC